CCUGAGCCUGGCUUUGGCUGGGGAGGGCGGGAUAUAAAUAAAAUUUAUUAUUAUUAUUAUUAUUGGCUGAUUGACAUCUAAUGCCCUUUAAAAAUGUGGCGGGGAGGGGGGUUACAGAUGUUUAUUUUCUAUUUUUUUAUUGUACUUUUAUGUUGUAACUGUCCUGAGACUUGUGGGUGUAGAGAAUAGGAGCCUUCUCUUAGAGGCCUAGGGUUCUUUGCCCCCCCAUUAAAAUAUUUGAGGGGGUCACCCCUCAGUUGGUACACAUUGACAUUCCAAUGGCGCACAUGCAUCAUGUCAUUGAUUGUGCAAGGCGGGCCUUACAUGCCCCCCCCCAAUAUUUUAUUCCAGUUGGUACCACUGGGUCGAAUGGUAUACAAAUUAAAUAAAUAAAUAAAUCACUUUUCUUUGCACAU